UGCCAUUACCCUCCAAUUCUGUUGAAAUUCCUAUAAUCGCACUCGGAAGAGUUGGUUCCAACGAAACCGUUGAUUAGGAAUCCAAUUCCAGUGCCUAGUUCCCUGCACCGGCGACGGCGACUCGUCUCCUCGAAGCUAAGAAUCAAGAUCAGACGAAGCAAUAUAAUCCAGUGGGAACCUUGAUGCUAGGAUGAAAUGAUGUUGCUGAUCCAAAGAUGCAUAAAUUGUUUUGAUUCAUGGAGUUGGCUAUGGAAGACUGUAAUUGUAAAAGUUGUCAAACCGCAUGCUACCUCAUGAGGCUGACAUAUGUUUUCUAAAUGCUCAGUCUGGUGAGCUAUUUAUUUGGUGGUUGACAAUGUAUCUGAUCUAACCAGAAAAUUUCCCUGUUGAUAGCCCCUAAAAUAAUUGGCUCUUAGGCUGGAACAUAUUUGUUUAAUCUGUCUUAAUCAGUAAACUGCUAUUGGACAAACAAAAAUGUAGACCAAACUUUCCUUUGUACUUAUUAUGGUUAUGGAUUAGCUUGUUGGCAACGAGAACCGAACUCGACACAUUCAUGUAAAGAAACUGCCUCAUUUAUAAUAAAUUUCUAGCAUGCCACCUCAGUAUCCUUAGAACUUGGUAGGACUCCUUGAGAUAUUCUUUCGUGUUGGGGCUGAAUUUCAAUCUCUUACAGCUUUCUCAAUAAUGUUGACUUCAAUUGGUUCUGCGCUCUUUUAAUUUGUUCUGUCUUUUCUCCUAAAAUGUUAUCUGAACUUUAUAUUCUUUCCCUCCUUUCUGCUUCUGUUGCCUCAUCAGAUUUUGUGUUGAAGAUUGGAAAACUGUGAAAAAAAGGCCUGAACAAGCAUAGAACACUUCUAAUUAAUUAAAGAACCACUUGAAGUGUUUUUAUUUUCUUAUGAAUAACUUCACACACUGGUGGAAACUACUGCAAUUUGUGGAUUUUCACAUAAAAGCUUCUAUUGCCCACAUAGAUUGAAUGAACAUGCAUGAUUUGUGCUAAAUACAGAAUUCACGAAAAAGGAAAAGAUCAGGUUGUGUUUAGCAACAAACCAAGUUAGAGAUCAUAGAUUUCCUAAAAGAAACACCAAGAAAACACAGAAAGCAGGAACCAUCAAAUGAACAGUGAUCAAGAGAAUGAUUCUGAGUAUGACGUACAAGCACCCAGUUUUGGUUAUUGUAGUGUCUUAAUGUAGGGACUCUAUGUCCUUGCUCAGCUCUUCCAGCUUCUUCAUCCUCAGUUUCUCACUUUCGCUCACCAGCUGACCAUGGAAGAUAGUCAAUUUUAGAAAAAGAUAAGAAGUUAAUCAUUGGAAGGUGGUGAUUUAGGCAUAACAUUAUCCAGUUUUGUGCUAGAAUUGAAGUUUACCUCCAUUAAUUUGGAUAGCAGUAGACCUUUUUCCCUGUUCUUUUCAUUGAAAGCCUCAAGGGCUUCUUUGUAUUCUUUUUCCUGUGUUAGAUGAACACAUCAUGAAUACAACAAAAAACAUCUUAAAAUGUUCAUUCGAAAUAAAGUAUGAGCCUAUUUGAACAUCAAAGGAAAGUCAACAAUACCAUGGAAAUUGUAAUAAGUCAUAUAGCAUGGAAUUACAAUUGCACUUGCUAAUUUGAUAGGCUUUAGAAGAAAGGUCAAUUUUUGAAUUCUCGAGUUAACCAGCACACACACACACACACACAUAUAUAAAUAUAUUCACCUUUCUUUGAGGCUACCAGUAGAUGCUGGACUUAUGCUAAAUGCUUUCUGUCAAGAGUUAAAAAGUUCGCCUAACCUCGGUGUUUAUGGGCAACCUCAAUGAAUGGCUUGAUUAAGAGAACAAGUAGAUUAGAAAAGAUGAUUAUGAUAUUUCACCUUCUUCUGGCAGGUCUGUCCCAGUGGCUUCAACUCUUUGUUAACAAUGUCUAUCCUCUUUCGGACCAUUGCAACAUCCUUCCUCAUGGGAUCUGCUAGAGCUUGAAGCUCCUGGUGCAGUUUAGUUUUAGUUUAGAUGAAGAAAAUCACGGUAAAUUGUCAUUCAAAACUUACAAACAAGUAUAUGUAUCUCAAAACAUAAACGUGAAUGUUCCAAUUAUCUACCGGUUUCCUCUGAUCGAUCCUCUGUAUUACAAGGUAUAACAAGACAAGAACUGGAAUUUUUGAGCUGGACCAAUGUUCUACUGAACAAUUUUCUCUGUUUUAUAGGGUGUCCAUUUUUUUAUUGAAGGCUUAAAUUUCAUUUGCAAACUCUUGAUUCAGACACUAGCUAGCAAGGAUCCUAUGCUAACAUUUUUCUACUUACUUCCCGAAUCUCAGCCAAGCGCUUAGUUUCCUCUUCAACGCGACCCAAGUGAGCCUGAACCUUCUCCGUGACCUCCAUCUUCUUCCUCUCGAUCUCUUCUUCUUUUGCACGAAAUGCAGACAGAGCCGACCUUGUCAUCUCCUCAUCCCUCUCAUCCAUUAGCGGGCUGCCAUUAUAACCGAGUAUUCCUGAGUUUUUCAUUCUCAACAUUUGUGAUUGUUGCUGCUCCAAUACUGAUUUCGGGGUUGUCAUUGCUGUCUCCACCAAACUCUCCUCUUUCUUCUCUGUAGACUCUCUUAUGGAUCUUCUCCUCCCUUUGCCUUUCUGCUUUAGAAUGAUGACGCUCUUUCCCCUGUAUGAGAUGCUUAUAAACAAGGCUAACUUUAAAGGUUGGAAGAGGAUUUCACCUGUGUUCGCUUCUCCUCAACUUCUUCAUCUAAAUUCUGUUGUUUGUCAACAAAAGACAUUAUGGUCUAUAAGAUCUUGAUGAAGGAUCUAGAUGGGCCAGUUCUGGUAAGACAGCUAUUUCUUAAGUAGGUGUAUUGGCAGAUUCAGCAAACGACGAUUUCCAAGUCGUAUACAACGCGUAACACACUUUAAAAGAUUUGCAAAUAUAUACGUAAGUUUACUUGUUAAGUAUAAUGAUAAAAUUCUUAAUUUUUUUAGGUAAUCUUGACCUCCUGCAAUUUUGAACAAACACACAGCAACAACAAAAUUGAACCAAAUUGUACUCGGGUUUUAAUCAUAAUUCCAUGUGGGAACCAUUCUGGUUAAUGAAAGGUCUGGAUACAGGGAAAAGUAUGCAGAUCGAAUGGUGAAGAUGAUCAAAGAUGAAAGUUGUCCCUUUUUCAUCUGUCCAUUUCUUGGUAACUUUAUUGCAACCAAUGGGCACUUUUGGCUUUCGAAUUCAUUGUAUUGUCCUGGGAAACCUGAUAUUUAAUGCAAGGAAAAUGAUGUUCAUUCAUAACGGUGAUUACUACAAACG